UACAGAGGGGGCAAGCGUUGUUCGGAAUUACUGGGCGUAAAGGGCGCGUAGGCGGCCACCGCAAGUCGACUGUGAAAUCUCCGGGCUUAACCCCGGAAAGGUCAGCCGAUACUGCGGGGCUAGAGUGCAGAAGGGGGAGCAACUGGAAUUCUCGGUGUAGCGGUGAAAUGCGUAGAUAUCGAGAGGAACACCUGCGGCGAAGGCGGGUUGCUGGGCUGACACUGACGCUGAGGCGCGAAAGCUAGGGGGAGCGAACGGAA
rnacentral:rRNA from 1 species